GAUGAACGCUGGCGGCGUGCCUAAUACAUGCAAGUCGAGCGAACAGACGAGGAGCUUGCCCCUCUGACGUUAGCGGCGGACGGGUGAGUAACACGUGGAUAACCUACCUAUAAGACUGGGAUAACUUCGGGAAACCGGAGCUAAUACCGUAUAACAUGUUGAACCGCAUGGUUCAACAGUGAAAGACGGUCUUGCUGUCACUUAUAGAUGGAUCCGCGCCGCAUUAGCUAGUUGGUAAGGUAACGGCUUACCAAGGCAACGAUGCGUAGCCGACCUGAGAGGGUGAUCGGCCACACUGGAACUGAGACACGGUCCAGACUCCUACGGGAGGCAGCAGUAGGGAAUCUUCCGCAAUGGGCGAAAGCCUGACGGAGCAACGCCGCGUGAGUGAAGAAGGUCUUCGGAUCGUAAAACUCUGUUAUUAGGGAAGAACAAAUGUGUAAGUAACUAUGCACGUCUUGACGGUACCUAAUCAGAAAGCCACGGCUAACUACGUG
rnacentral:rRNA from 1 species